rnacentral:rRNA from 1 species
AUACGUAGGGUGCGAGCGUUGUCCGGAAUUACUGGGCGUAAAGAGCUCGUAGGUGGUUUGUCGCGUCGUCUGUGAAAUUCCGGGGCUUAACUCCGGGCGUGCAGGCGAUACGGGCAUAACUUGAGUACUGUAGGGGAGACUGGAAUUCCUGGCGUAGCGGUGGAAUGCGCAGAUAUCAGGCGGAACACCGGUGGCGAAGGCGGGUCUCUGGGCAGUAACUGACGCUGAGGAGCGAAAGCAUGGGUAGCGAACAGGAUUAGAUACCCUGGUAGUCCAUGCCGUAAACGGUGGGCGCUAGGUGUAGGGGUCUUCCACGACUUCUGUGCCGUAGCUAACGCAUUAAGCGCCCCGCCUGGGGAGUACGGCCGCAAGGCUAAAACUCAAAGGAAUUGACGGGG